rnacentral:lncRNA from 1 species
GCUCAUACCAUUUCAAUCAUCAGACCAUUUCAAUCACUACUAUUUUGGAAAAUAUUGCAUAAUUAAAAUCAGAGCCUUCCAUGAUCAUCUGCAUUUUUUUUUUAGGAUCACCUGGAUGAACUUUUCAUUACUAUUUUCAGAUACUUAUUACUUGAAAUUCAUUUAGAGUGACAACCAGCCUCUGUUCUUCUCACAGCUCUGUCCUCCUGGGGAACCACAGAUGCUUCUUCUGCUGCAUUGGAAAGAACAGUUCCCAGCUACUGCCACCACCUCUCCUACCCUCCAUCUGUAAACUGAAGAUGCAUAUGAGGUCAUAAUGGAGUGGAGAAGAACAGCGUCACCAAUUGUGUAACUCACUUCUGCUUGUGCUUGUGAAUCUUACAGACCUUCCUCUUUUAUUAAAAACUUGGUGCUAUCUGGAAGACAAUAAAAGAAUACUUG